GAGGGGAGGACGCCGAGGCCGCGAGCCCCGCGGCCGCCUGAGCUCAGCGCCGCUCCUGGGGAGGACGCAGGGGUCCGGGGAGCUUGUACUGUCCCUAGGUCCUUACGCUAGGAGUAAAAAAACCAAGGAGUGAAUUGGAGUGGAUAAGCCGCAAGACGUUCUGCGAGUAGUGAUUUUUAAAUCAGCUACUCACUACAGCCACCGCUUACCUCCUUGGUCCAAGACGCCCUUGUCUACCCUGUGGAUGAGCUGUGGUUUUUUCUGCCUGCUUUCCUCGCUUCCACAGCUGCCCCUCUUUAGCAUAUUCUCAACACAGCAGCUCAGAGUAAUUCUGGUAAAACGUGAAUAACAAAGGAUACAACGGACGUUUUUUUGAUUUGAUGGAUACGUUUAUUGAGUGUGUGGAUGGUUUCCUGGCUGUAUGCAUAUGUCAAAACAUCACAUGGUUCACUUUAAAUAGGUGCAGUUUAUUGUAUGCAGGUUUACCUUAAGAAAACUAUUAAAAAUAAAAUUUAAAAA